rnacentral:rRNA from 1 species
GUUAAGCGACUAAGCGUACACGGUGGAUGCCCUGGCAGUCAGAGGCGAUGAAGGACGUGCUAAUCUGCGAUAAGCGUCGGUAAGGUGAUAUGAACCGUUAUAACCGGCGAUUUCCGAAUGGGGAAACCCAGUGUGUUUCGACACACUAUCAUUAACUGAAUCCAUAGGUUAAUGAGGCGAACCGGGGGAACUGAAACAUCUAAGUACCCCGAGGAAAAGAAAUCAACCGAGAUUCCCCCAGUAGCGGCGAGCGAACGGGGAGCAGCCCAGAGCCUGAAUCAGUGUGUGUGUUAGUGGAAGCGUCUGGAAAGGCGCGCGAUACAGGGUGACAGCCCCGUACACAAAAAUGCACAUGCUGUGAGCUCGAUGAGUAGGGCGGGACACGUGGUAUCCUGUCUGAAUAUGGGGGGACCAUCCUCCAAGGCUAAAUACUCCUGACUGACCGAUAGUGAACCAGUACCGUGAGGGAAAGGCGAAAAGAACCCCGGCGAGGGGAGUGAAAAAGAACCUGAAACCGUGUACGUACAAGCAGUGGGAGCACGCUUAGGCGUGUGACUGCGUACCUUUUGUAUAAUGGGUCAGCGACUUAUAUUCUGUAGCAAGGUUAACCGAAUAGGGGAGCCGAAGGGAAACCGAGUCUUAACUGGGCGUUAAGUUGCAGGGUAUAGACCCGAAACCCGGUGAUCUAGCCAUGGGCAGGUUGAAGGUUGGGUAACACUAACUGGAGGACCGAACCGACUAAUGUUGAAAAAUUAGCGGAUGACUUGUGGCUGGGGGUGAAAGGCCAAUCAAACCGGGAGAUAGCUGGUUCUCCCCGAAAGCUAUUUAGGUAGCGCCUCGUGAAUUCAUCUCCGGGGGUAGAGCACUGUUUCGGCAAGGGGGUCAUCCCGACUUACCAACCCGAUGCAAACUGCGAAUACCGGAGAAUGUUAUCACGGGAGACACACGGCGGGUGCUAACGUCCGUCGUGAAGAGGGAAACAACCCAGACCGCCAGCUAAGGUCCCAAAGUCAUGGUUAAGUGGGAAACGAUGUGGGAAGGCCCAGACAGCCAGGAUGUUGGCUUAGAAGCAGCCAUCAUUUAAAGAAAGCGUAAUAGCUCACUGGUCGAGUCGGCCUGCGCGGAAGAUGUAACGGGGCUAAACCAUGCACCGAAGCUGCGGCAGCGA